rnacentral:rRNA from 1 species
GAUGAACGCUGGCGGCAUGCCUAAUACAUGCAAGUCGAGCGAACAGACGAGGAGCUUGCUCCUCCGACGUUAGCGGCGGACGGGAGAGUAACAUGUGGUUAACCUACCUAUAAGAAUGGGAUAAUUUCGGGAAACCGGAGCUAAUACCGGAUAAUAUAUUGAACCGCAUGGUUCAAUAGUGAAAGACGGUUUUGCUGUCACUUAUAGAUGGAUCCGCGCCGCAUUAGCUAGUUGGUAGGGUAACGGCUUACCAAGGCAACGAUGCGUAGCCGACCUGAGAGGGUGAUCGGCCACACUGGCACUGAGACACGGUCCAGACUCCUACGGGAGGCAGCAGUAGGGAAUCUUCCGCAAUGGGCGAAAGCCUGACUGUGCAACGCCGCGUGAGUGAUGAAGGUCUUCUGAUCGUAAAACUCUGUUAUUAGGGAAGAACAAAUAUGUAAUUAACUAGGCACGUCUUGGCGGUACCUAAUCAGAAAGCCACGGCUAACUACGUG